AGAGUUUGAUCCUGGCUCAGGACGAACGCUGGCGGCGUGCUUAACACAUGCAAGUCGAACGAUGACAGGGGAGCUUGCUCCCCUCGAUUAGUGGCGAACGGGUGAGUAACACGUGAGUAACCUGCCCUUGACUCUGGGAUAAGCACUGGAAACGGUGUCUAAUACCGGAUACGACCUUCGGAGGCAUCUCCUGAAGGUGGAAAGAAUUUCGGUCAAGGAUGGACUCGCGGCCUAUCAGCUUGUUGGUGAGGUAAUGGCUCACCAAGGCGACGACGGGUAGCCGGCCUGAGAGGGUGACCGGCCACAUUGGGACUGAGACACGGCCCAAACUCCUACGGGAGGCAGCAGUGGGGAAUAUUGCACAAUGGGCGAAAGCCUGAUGCAGCAACGCCGCGUGAGGGACGACGGCCUUCGGGUUGUAAACCUCUUUUAGUAGGGAAGAAGCGAAAGUGACGGUACCUGCAGAAAAAGCACCGGCUAACUACGUGCCAGCAGCCGCGGUAAUACGUAGGGUGCAAGCGUUGUCCGGAAUUAUUGGGCGUAAAGAGCUCGUAGGCGGUUUGUCGCGUCUGCUGUGAAAACUGGAGGCUCAACCUCCAGCCUGCAGUGGGUACGGGCAGACUAGAGUGCGGUAGGGGAGAUUGGAAUUCCUGGUGUAGCGGUGGAAUGCGCAGAUAUCAGGAGGAACACCAAUGGCGAAGGCAGAUCUCUGGGCCGUAACUGACGCUGAGGAGCGAAAGCAUGGGGAGCGAACAGGAUUAGAUACCCUGGUAGUCCAUGCCGUAAACGUUGGGCGCUAGAUGUAGGGACCAUUCCACGGUUUCUGUGUCGCAAGCUAACGCAUUAAGCGCCCCGC
rnacentral:rRNA from 1 species